rnacentral:rRNA from 1 species
GCUGGGUAGCUAAAUGCGGAAGAGAUAAGUGCUGAAAGCAUCUAAGCACGAAACUUGCCAAGAGAUGAGUCAUCCCUGACUUUAAGUCAGUAAGGGUUGUUGUAGACUACGACGUAGAUAGGUUGGGUGUGUAAGUGUAGUGAUACAUUGAGCUAACCAAUACUAAUUGCCCGAGAGGCUUAACCAUA